AUGUGCAGCAUCUCAGGCUGUGCUGUGAGUCCAGCUGUCGAUUUCUCCUUCACCAGCUACAACUUUGGGACGUGCUUCAUCUACCAAGCCGGAAUGCCCUCAUACAAACAAACUCUGGUCAUCACCAACAAAGAAGAUACAUCCAUGAGCAUAGAUUGUUUGUACACCAACACCAGCUACCUUGACGUGAGCUUCCAUGCCGAAGUGAUAAAGCCAGGAAAGACACUGGAGAUUCCAAUCACCUUUUAUCCUCGAGAAAGUAUCAACUACCAGGAACUUAUCCCCUUUGAAAUCAAUGGGCUCUCUCAACAAACAGUCAAAAUCAAAGGGAAAGGCACUGAAAUGAAGAUUUCAGUCCUAGAUCCAGCCAGUAAGAUUGUGAAGUUAGGAGCUGUCCUGCCAGGACAAGUCGUGAAGAAAACUGUCUGCAUCAUGAACAACAGCCUUGCGCAGCUCACAUUUAACCAGUCUGUGCUGUUCUCUACUCCAGAACUCCAGGAACCCAAGGUUCUCACCUUGGUGCCCUUCCAAAACAUCACCCUGAAGCCCAAAGAAGUCUGUAAGCUCGAAGUCAUCUUCGCCCCAAAGAAGCGCAUCCCUCCCUUCUCUGAGGAGGUGUUCAUGGAAUGCCUGGGCCUCCUGCAGCCCCUCUUCCUCCUCAGUGGCUGCUGCCAGGCUCUGGAGAUCUCUUUGGACCAGGAUAACCUCCCCUUUGGACCAGUCGUGUUUCAGACACAAGCCACACGCCGCAUCCUCAUGUUGAACACAGGAGACAUGGGGGCAAGGUUCAAAUGGGAUGUCAAGAAAUUCGAGCCUCAUUUCUCCAUCAGCCCGGAUGAGGGUUACAUCACCACUGGCAUGGAGGUUUCUUUCGAAGUGACCUACCAUCCCACGGAGGUGGGAAAGGAGACUUUCUGUAAAAACAUUCCCUGCUUCAUCCAGGGGGGCAGUCCUCUGAGCCUCACCCUGUCUGGUGUCUGCGUGGGGCCACCUGCUGUAAAAGAGGUGGUGAAUUUCAACUGCCAGGUGCGCUGCAAGAACACGCAGACCAUUUUGCUGUCAAACCACACCAACCAGACCUGGAAUCUGCGCCCCAUCUUUGAGGGUGAGCACUGGGAAGGGCCGGAGUUCAUCACACUGGAGCCCCAUCAGCAAAAUAAGCCUUACGAGAUCACCUACAGGCCCCGCACCAUGAACUUGGAGAACCGCAAGCACCAGGGCACCCUCUUCUUCCCGCUUCCAGAUGGAACCGGCUGGCUUUAUGCUCUGCAUGGGACUGCUGAACUCCCGAAAGCUGUAGCCAAUAUCUACCGUGAGGUGCCAUGUAAGACACCCUACACCGAGCUCCUGUCAAUCACCAACUGGCUGAAUAAGCCCCAGAGAUUCCGGGUCAUCAUAGAAAUGGUGAAACCAGAGAAGGCAGACCUAAGCAUCACUAUGAAGGGCCUUGAUUACAUUGACCUGCUCUCGGGCUCCAAGAAAGACUACAAACUGAACUUCUUUUCCCACAAGGAGGGACUCUACACUGCAAAGGUGAUCUUCCGAAAUGAGGUGACUAAUGAGUUCUUGUUCUACUCGGUGAGUUUCAAGGUCACCCCUUCGGGCACCAUCAAAACCAUCAAAAUGACAAGCCCAGUGCGGCAGAGCGCAUCAGCCUCCAUCAAGCUGGAGAACCCCCUGCCCUACUCAGCAACCUUCUCCGCGGAAUGCAGGGUGUCUGAUAUCAGCCUGCCCUCCCAGUUUGCUGUGCCUGCCAACUCUGAGGGCACAUUCUCAUUUGAAUACCAGCCCCUGAAAGCUGGCGAAACCUUAGGAAGACUAACUUUGUACAACAGUGAUUUGGGUUACUACCAGUACGAGCUCAAUCUGAAGGCUGUGCCAGCACCUCCUGAAAAGCCCAUCCACUUCCAGACUGUUCUUGGCAGCAGCCAAAGCAUCUUUGCAAAGUUCAUCAAUUAUACACGGCAGAAGACAGAGUACUCCUCCAGGACAGACUGUCCAGAUUUUCACACAGAAAAAGUCAUCAGUGCACCCCCAGGAGCCCAGGGAGGCACUGAAGUCAGCAUGGAAGUCUUCUUUGAACCCAGCCACCUGGGUGAGACCAAGGGCAUCCUGACCCUGGCAUCACUUCUAGGUGGGGAGUACAUCAUCCCCCUCUUCGGAAUGGCUCUACCCCCCAAGCCCCAGGGACCCUUCGUGAUCCGAGCUGGGUACAACAUAGUCAUCCCCUUCAAGAACAUCUUCCUUCACACAGCCAGCUUCUCCUGCACUGUGAAUAACCCAGCCUUCACUGUCCGUGCUGCAGACUCUGUGCGGCCCAAGAAGGUCAACAACAUCACAGUCUCCUUUGAAGGAAACCCAUCCGGCACCAAAACCCCCAUCACCACCAAGCUGACUGUGACCUGCCCAACCUGUGAAGGCAGUGAAGCAGGAAUUAAAUGGGUUUAUUACCUGAAGGGCAUCACCCCUUAGUGGCAAGCAGGGUCACCUGCACCAACCAAAAGCCACCUCCUCGGGCUCAAGAGCCACACAUCAUCCGAACCUGAUAAAGAAUACAGAAGAAAGUAAGAAUUCUAAAGGGACCAUAUUACACCCCUCACUUAAUGAUAGGGGCAGUUAUUUCUAUAUUAUAUGUUCUUAAAACAGCUAUAAAAUAUUUAUUUUAUGUGAAGCAUUAUAGCUACAUGCAACAGAUCUUUAUCUGAGGUAACUCAGUCCUUGAAAGCUCCUGAAUUUUAUUUCUUGAUAUUUUCCAUAGCUCAAGCACUCUAUAAUGACCCCCAAUUUUAACAAAAAGAUGCAGGUAUCACACUCAUGAUCUUCUCCUCACAGCACUUAGCCGCGCCUGACACCAAGGCACUGUAGUUUCAUCUUCAAAUCUAAAGCACCCUUAGAUAUGAGACCAUUUUGAUGUGGUAUUUUAUUUUCUUUUCAUAUAAAAGCCAAAGAAAUAACUAUUUUCAAAGCGAUCAGAUAACAUUAGGGCAACCAAGAGAUUUUCUCAUCCUCUUUUCUCUUCGAUUUUUAUACGAUUACCCUCCGAAUCUCAUAUCUGUUGCCUACAGAAAGGUCUCCCGCAUGGCAGAUAGAGAUGCAGCCCCCAGUGCCGUCCCUGGCCCUGGGCACCGAAGUUGGCUGGAGAUCAGUGAUUCCCCUACCCAUCUGCACAUUGUCUCACUUAAUUCUCACCCAGAAUCCACCCCUCCCCGAAUUCCACUCUAAUUAGUCUGGGGAGGGCAUAGGCAUCUCUGUCUGCAAAACUUGUACUGCUGAGUUGAGAGCCAGGGCUACAGAGAAAACACACACCCAGCCGUUUGUGCCACAACUGAGUCAGGAAUCCCAUCAGGGGAAGGACCAUGUCCCAGUUGGAUGUGUUGAUAUUUUGUGUGCACAUAAGGAUGACCAGGUAGGCCAGUGCCUUUCCUGAGCACCAUUCCAGAAGCUCUGCCCUGGGGUACCUGGUGCAGCCCAGAGGCCUGGCCUCAAGCCUGCCUCUUCCCUUGGGUCUCGAGGUGUGUAUUCCAACGACCACUUACCUGUCAGUGCCAAGUGUUGAAAUAAAGAUGGCUGAAGACUGGCCCUGGAGUGACUUUGCUCCUGCAAGCACACACCUUUCACUGAGGGUCCCCCGCCUCUACUUCCUGCCCCCCCUUCUAAUUCCCUACAGCACCCCUGCAAGAGAGGGAGGAGGCAUGAAAGCAGAUGGCCACUUGGGAACGAAUACUCUAGAGUAGAUCUCCAAAAUCCCCUGGACCACCAGCACCAGCACUAAAGAUCUAAAUUCUUUACUAGGUGCCCUACCCUGCACCUACUGAGUUAGAAAUUGUGGGAGUGCGGCCCAGCAACCUGUCUUUUGAUAAACCCUUGUACCUAUCAGAGGUGUUCACAAGUGAAGACUCUUCUACUUUUUUUGUAUCUCCCACAACCCUUAGGCCAAUACACACUCUACAUAGCUCAUACGAAAUUAAGCUUUUUCCAGAGUGCUUGUAAAUUCAGACCUACGCUUAUAAACAGUUCAUUUUUAUAACCACUGAAGACACCUAAAGAGGUGUAAAGACAAAGAACAAGAUAGAUUUUCC
rnacentral:lncRNA from 1 species